AAACAGGAACAAGGUGGACUACAAUACCCAGAAAUCUAGAGAGGAGGCAGUCGUGGGUGGGGAGCCAGCACUAUCCGGAAGUUCUAGGAGUUCGGCCGCGCGGGAGGAAAGAAGGGUCCGGGCUUGGCGAGGCCCACGCUCCACCACCCGGGCGGUCGCUUCGCAUGCUGGGAGUUGUAGUUCGAUGCAGUUUAGGGUUUUGGGCGUGGGCUCCAAAAUCCUAAAUUUGACCUCAGCCGGCUCUGAGCCGUUAUUGGCUGCCGUUAAGGACUGAUACCAUUCUCAGAUUUGCAGAGGCUGAAAGAAGGCUAAUGAAAUGGGGCUCAUGAAGAGUGAUUAUGGAGGAUGAUGGUGCUGGUGUCUGGCCCCAUGCCAUUCUUGCAAUCUAAAGCUUAAGUAAGACACCCUGCAUGAUAUUUUACUGCAAACCAAGCAGUUUUGGCUCAGUGGAGAGCUUUUCUGGGAGAUAGGCAAGCAAUGUGACUAAGGUGACCACACUCAGAAUGCAAGUAUGAGUCCAAGGUUCUGGAAUCCAAGUUAGAAUCUUCUAAAAUCUUAGAUUUCGUAGGAUUCCUGAUUUCUCUAUAGUAAAAAUUUAAAUUUUUACGUUUUUUAAAAGAAAUUAAAAAAAAAAAAAAGGAAAUUGA